CAUUCGGCGGCGAGGAGGCAGAGCAAAAGCUUCUUCCUUGAGACACACCAAUAUCUUGUGACUAUUGAUCGCCUUCGAUUUUUAUAUGUCGUCAGUUGAACGCCCUUAGAACGGGUUCAUUUUGUGCGGAUAUUUUAAAUAAGGGAGAUAACUCUAGAAGAGAACCUUCCCUCCAAAGUAUGUGGGCGUUAUAGUACAAGUUAUAGGCGUAUUUGGGUGGAGCGGUUUUUCUUGUCGGCUAGUUCAAAGUACUGACGUCUAGUUAGUCUGAAGUGAGAUCGAUGGCGAACGCUUGACAAACGACACGUUGCUGACGUCGCACCUGCGCGACUCGCCGCUAAUCCAAAGUCGCGGCUACAAUGCGGCGGAAAAGCACUCUCAAAUGCGAGCUUUUCGCCACACCUGCCCCUGGCCUCAAUUGAUCCAAGUUGGCGGAGUGAUCUUCACCCGAUUUUCGUCCUUAUCAUCAUUAUGUUUCGAUUGCCCUUUCGCCAGAUGGCAGCACGAAACUUUGCAAACAAUGACCGCACCUGGUUUGUUGAUGAAAGUUGCAGCUAUUCUCUAUAGCGUAUAAGCGAGCCUAUAUAGCCGCGAGUGGCUACACCAUCAAGAGAACAAAAGCCUCGCUAGAUUGCUGUUUACCUGGCAAACACGUCCUCGUCACAUUUUGCACUGAAGCGCCAAAAGCCUCGCUAUCGUGAGACUGUGUGCGGGCGAAUGUUGUUCGAUUUUUGUCCGUAUUUUUUCUAUCGCUUCCACUUUAUAUUUUCUUUUUGAGUAUAGCCUACGCGCGAAUAAAAAUUGCACGCUCGCGCGCAUCAUUAUUACGAGCAUAUUGAGAUAAGUCGUUUCAUUGUUAAAACGCCUUUGAUCUUGAACCGACGCGGAUUUAGCAGCCGACUAGGAAUGUAUGAGGGAUGGAAACGCUUUUCGUGCCAUUCCUUAUUCAUAUCAGUUAUAUUAUCGCCAUUGUCUUCGCAGGCGAAUACAUAAUAGCAAGUAAUAUUAAGGUUCCGUCCUGAUAAGCUGCUAUUGGCCAACAAAGAUGGUCAACUAAGAUUUAGAUUUUUUUCAAAUGUUCUUUUUCAAAAGGAAAGAGAAAUGCAGUACGUUAAAAUAAGCUUCUCAUUGGUUGGGAGGAGCAUAGUUUCUGGUCAGUGAUUGGCUACCUUGUUUACAGGAAGUGUAAGGCGGAGUCUAUGACGUUUGAAUGGCGCUUCGCCUUGUGUCGCGGCAAAUAACGUUCGGACUUCGAAGAGACAACGUGGCUUAUCUCGGACUUUGAAAGACUUUUUAUCUAGGCCUAUAGAAUGCUGACGGCAAAGCCGACCUAUGAAAGUUCGACAGGCGCUUCGAAUACACUCACGUAUUCCUCAUAUUCUCCUAUGUCUACGCCGAACCUUACUCCUAUGAGUGCACCAAUGCCGCCCUCUAUGUCUUAUCAUGGUCAGGCACCAAUGGGUGCCAUGGGAGGUAUGAACUCGAUGUGCGGUAUGACCGGUAUGAGCAGCAUGGGAAUGAUGAGCGGAGGAAUGGCUUCACCGAUGAACGGCUCGUUUGGAGCGUCUCCCUCAGCUCCAGGCUCAAUGAUGGCUCCUCAACCGGGUAGUAUGUCACCCAUGAGCAUGGAACGCAUGCAGGCGCUAAAUAGGGCACGCGAGAAGACUUAUCGCCGAUCCUAUACUCACGCAAAACCGCCAUACUCCUAUAUCUCGCUCAUAACUAUGGCUAUUCAACAAAGUCACAAUAAAAUGUGUACCUUGAGCGAAAUUUAUCAGUUUAUAAUGGAUCUGUUUCCUUUCUACCGUCAAAACCAGCAACGUUGGCAGAACUCGAUCAGGCACUCGCUCUCAUUUAAUGACUGUUUUGUCAAAGUUCCACGUUCUCCCGAUAGGCCGGGAAAAGGGUCAUACUGGACUCUCCACCCGGAUUCGGGUAAUAUGUUUGAAAACGGAUGUUACUUACGUCGGCAAAAACGCUUUAAAGACCCAAAAAAAGAGGCUCUCAGACAAGCGCAACGCGCAUCGGGCGUCGAUGAACACGGAAAUCCUUUACCGGACGACGAAGAUGACAAUCACGACGGUGGCGAACACUCUUCGCCGGAAAAAGAUGAUUGUGAAUCAGGAGGACCGGGGCCGCAAACUCAUCAGCCGCAUCAACAACUGCAGCCAAAUAAUAGCGCCGUUCACGACGGCUAUUUAAUGGGAUCGACUCUACACGAUCUAGCCGGAGAUGGACCUACUGGACAACCAAUGCAAGGUAAUCCCGAAUGUGGUGUAGCAACAAAACAGGAACCUCCCUCUGUAACUUCACCACACGAUACAGAUCUCGCUCUACGUCAACAAAUGGUCUCCAUGUCGGAGCUUCAGCAUCCGGGCAUGUUGAACGCCUUUAAUCACCCAUUUUCGAUAACGAACAUUAUUUCGUCUGCUGAACAAGCCAAAUUAGACCUGCGAAUGUACGACAUGCAAGCGUAUCAUCCGUCGAAUUACGCCCCAAACGCUUCAACAGCAGGUCCAAUAACGAAGGAUUGUUUAGGAAAUGGCCAGAACGUCUCCCCCAUGCACGAUUAUUAUAAAUCAUACGCCGGUCCGCAACCUCUCUAGGAAGAAUGGCGAAUAGAACUGCUUCUCUCGUCUGUGAUGUUCUCUCGCUGGCGCAACAUUGGCGGUAAUCUCGAAAAAAUUUUUUGUAUACACUUUUUUUUCUAUUAAUAUUAUAUAAAUAAUAAUUGCAUGCAUGUGUGCAGGCGCGCUGUCGUGUAUAUAUAUUUCACCUGUAUUCAUAUAUUUAUACAUAUGUAUAUACAUACAUAUAAAUACGGAUAAUGAGACUAACCCAUACGUAUUUAUAUGUAUUCUAUACAUAAUAUAAAUAUCUAUGUAUAGAUUGUAAGAAAAUUGAUAAUGUCGAUCUAGUUACCUAAAUUUUGUGGUUACUUCGACGACAUACUUCGUAAUCAUUCCAAAAAGACCAGUCAAUUUUUUAAAUAUAUAUAUAUAUAUAUGCAGUACAUAUAUUUAGUAUAUAGAUAUCUAUAUGUAUAUAUAUAUAAACUAAUAUAUAUAUAUAUAUGUAU
rnacentral:misc_RNA from 1 species